UACGGAGGGUGCAAGCGUUAUCCGGAUUCACUGGGUUUAAAGGGUGCGUAGGCGGGUUGGUAAGUCCGUGGUGAAAUCUCCGAGCUUAACUCGGAAACUGCCGUGGAUACUAUCAAUCUUGAAUAUCGUGGAGGUAAGCGGAAUAUGUCAUGUAGCGGUGAAAUGCUUAGAUAUGACAUAGAACACCAAUUGCGUAGGCAGCUUACUACACGAUCAUUGACGCUGAGGCACGAAGCGUGGGGAGCAAACAGG
rnacentral:rRNA from 1 species